AAAACCGGGUGUAAGCCCCGGAAGUACUUGUUGCCUGAGCAGUGGGCUGCUUAGGAAGAGAAGGUCAGAGUUCGCGGGGGCAGAGGCAUUCUUGCCGCUGGCCCAGUCACUAUGUAGUGGAGGGGCAGACACCCUCCCGCAAAUUCUGGAAGGUUCUUAGUCUCGACUAGGGCAGUAGCCCCAGGACUCCUAGUCGCCGGCUUCAGGUCACUGCCGGCUGAACGGAGCUGCCGUCGCCAUGUUUGGCUGCUUGGUGGCGGGGAGGCUGGAGAAGGAAGCCAACAUCCUUUUGGAGCCAUGAAUAUUGUCCGAACUCCAUCUGUUGCUCAGAUUGGAAUUUCAGUGGAAUUAUUAGACAGUAUGGCUCAGCAGACUCCUGUAGGUAAUGCUGCUGUAUCCUCAGUUGACUCAUUCACUCAGUUCACACAAAAGAUGUUGGACAAUUUCUACAAUUUUGCUUCAUCAUUUGCUGUCUCUCAGGCCCAGAUGACACCAAGCCCAUCUGAAAUGUUCAUUCCGGCAAAUGUGGUUCUGAAAUGAUAUUUCUUUUCACUUUGAGUAUCCUAGAGAUGGGAGGAUGCCUAGGAAGAGUUUGUUGAGAAGUGGUACCAUGGUGUAGCAUGGAGAGCAUUGGAAUGCACUAGGUAUGAAAACUUUCAAAGACGACUAGCACAGAACCCUCUCUUUUGGAAAACAUAAUUUGAAUAAAAUAAUUUUUAAUGGAUUCUGAAAUUUGUCAUGUUUUGAAGAUAACUGACUCCAUCUAAAAGUAUGAGGUCAAAGGAUCACGAAACCUAAGUUUAAAAACUGCUUAGAGACUGAAGCUUAAUUAAAAAUCUUUAUUAAAAAUUAAAAACAUUGAAAAAUGAAAAUAUGUUCAUCAUUAAAGACUUUUUUCCCCUUAAGCUUAAAAUACCAUUCAAAGGCAAGACAUUUUGUUUUGGCUAUGAUUCAUUUUUUUUACUUAAAAAUAAAACCUAUACCAAACAGUAGUGUGCCAAGUA
rnacentral:lncRNA from 1 species